rnacentral:rRNA from 1 species
UAUUAUUUUAAGAUUAUUUUUUAUUGUUGAAAAAAUUAAAAAUAAAUUGUUUUUAACAAAAAUUAAAAUUUAUAAUAUUUCAUUUUUUGGUUUUUUGUUUUAAAUUAAAAUAAUAAAUAUGGGGGAAAAAAAAAUUUUGUUAUAAAUUAUAUUAGUUUAUUUUAAUUAAAAAUAUUUUUUAUUAAAUUUGUUUUUUUUAUUUUUUUAUAAAAAAUAUUAAUUUAAUUAUUAUUAUUGAGUUUAAUUUAGUUAUUUUUAAAAAAAUUUUGUAUAAAAUAAAUUUGAUAAUAAAUGUUUUUUAAAUUCUUUGGGGGUUUAGUUUAUG